CAGCUUUGUAGGAGAGCUGGUCUCUCCCAACUCCUUAACCACUUUCUUGACUUGGCUUGAGAAAAACCACAUUUCUCUCAUUUUUCCUUGUUCAUCACUCCUCAGUCUCCGUUAUUCCUUAACCACCUAGGGUCAUGUCAUUGGACCUUUCCUUUUUUUUUUUUUCCUAUCUACGCUCACUCCCCUAUUGAUCCCAUUGAAUUUCAUAGCUUUAACACUGUGUAUAUGCUGACAAUUCCUAAAUUUAUAUAUCUAGCCAAGACCUCGCCUCUUCAUGACAGAAUAACUUUCAACUGUCUGUUUCCUAUCUCCACUAUUAUGUCUAAAAUGUGUCAAACUUAACAUGUCCAAGCUAAAGGUCCUGUCUUUCUCUUCCUCAUCUCCCCAACACUGAUUGAUGUUUUAGUUGAUAACAACUCAAUUUGCUCAACCUAAAACCUCGGAGUCAUCCUAGACUUCUCUUUUCUCAGCAUGAUAGCCAGAAUGAUUCUGCUGUAAUGUAAGUCAAAUUAUAUCACUUCCUAUACAAAAACCUUCCAGCAGCUUCUCUUAAAAACCUGUUAUCCUAAUGGCCUACGUGGUCUCAUUCCCAGUUAUCUCUUACCUUGUCUUCUCCUACUUUCCCUUUCAUUCACUUUAUUCCAGCCACACCAGUCUCCUUUCUCACCCUUAAACACACCAGGAUGCUCUUAUUUCAAGGCUAUUCUUUCCACCCAGAAUAUUGUAACUUCACCCUCAUCUCCCUAGGUGUUUACUUAAAUGUUUUUCACUCAGUCUGGCCAUCCCUUUUAAAAAUUACAACCCCAACUGUGAAGACUUCAUGUUCUGUUUUCUCCAAAACGUGUAUUACCAUCUGCUAUACCAUACAAGAAAUGUGUCAUCUGUUGCCCCCAGUUGAGUAGGACUAGGGUUUUUGUUUGUUUUGUUAAGUAUUGUAUCCCUGACACCUAAAGCAGUACCUGGCAUAUAUAGUAGAAUGAUUGAAUGAAUGAAUGAAUAUCAGAAAUUUGGUUAACAACACUUAUCUUAAAGAGCCUGAGACUUCUGGAGUUGAGGGUCCUGGAAGACAGUGAUAGAAAGAUUGAGUUUCCUUUCCCUUUGAUUUGCCCCAUUUUCAUAAAUAUUGAAAUCAUUUUCUUGAUCAUGCAAUUUGAUGUUACUAUUGAUCCAUCAUUAAUUUUGAACUGUUUGGCUUUGGGUUACAAAUAUUUGUUAAAAUUUGGUACAGAUUUUCUUUGUUAUUCAAGCUUUUGCAGUUCCUCUGUUGAGAUAAUACAAAUUUGGAUAUCAAAGGAUAUCUGAAUCUACUUGGUUCCUUAGUUUUAGAUACUGGGAAGUAAGAUUUGGGUUACCAAGGGACUUAUCUGAAAAUUUAAUCUGUUCAAUUCCUGGGUCUGGAUAUCAAGAAUUUGGAUAGCGAGGGAUAUCUGUAAUCAUACUUUAAAAUUUUAGUUAUCUUAGCAUCAGUUUUCUGAAAAUUCACUAGAAAAUUAUAACAACCCUUAGGUGGCAGCAAAUCAGUGAAAAACAUCUGAAUCCAGUGCUUAGCAUCUGCCUGUCAUACUCCUCACCAUCAGGGUGUUAAAUUUAGAAAGACAGAUAUCCAGAGGCACAGUAUGGGAGGAAUUUAGUAUUACUCUCCAGCUCUGUUAGCUGAGUGAGUAAUGGGGCUCCCGCUGUGGAGAAAGGUGCGAGCGUACCCAGGGACAUGGGGAGAAAUUAAAGUUAAAGGGAGUCUGGGAAGUAGUGACAGUGAGGAGAAGCACUCAGAAAUUAAGUACUCUAAUUGCCUCCUCAGGAAUUCCGUCAGAAAUCGCUGGACUGGGAGAAGCAACGCUUGAUUUAUCAGCAACAGGUAUCUUCACUGGAGGCACAAAGGAAGGCUCUGGCUGAACAAUCAGAGAUAAUUCAGAGAUGGGGUUUUACCAUGUUGUCCAGUCUGGUUUUGAACUUCGGGAUUCAAGCAAUCCGCCAGCCUCAGUGUCCCAAAGUGCUGGAAUUACAAGUGUGAGCUACCACCACUGGCAGUUAAGAAUUUUAACAAUUUGUCAAUGAAACAAGAAUCUCAAUUAGAGUCUUUAUAUACAAUCUGUACUGUUGGAAUUUUCAAAUAAAUAUUGUAAAGAAAAUUAACACU
rnacentral:sRNA from 1 species